rnacentral:rRNA from 1 species
AUUGAACGCUGGCGGCAGGCUUAACACAUGCAAGUCGAGCGGGGUGAUGGUGCUUGCACUAUCACUUAGCGGCGGACGGGUGAGUAAUGCUUAGGAAUCUGCCUAUUAGUGGGGGACAACAUUCCGAAAGGAAUGCUAAUACCGCAUACGUCCUACGGGAGAAAGCAGGGGAUCUUCGGACCUUGCGCUAAUAGAUGAGCCUAAGUCGGAUUAGCUAGUUGGUGGGGUAAAGGCCUACCAAGGCGACGAUCUGUAGCGGGUCUGAGAGGAUGAUCCGCCACACUGGGACUGAGACACGGCCCAGACUCCUACGGGAGGCAGCAGUGGGGAAUAUUGGACAAUGGGGGGAACCCUGAUCCAGCCAUGCCGCGUGUGUGAAGAAGGCCUUAUGGUUGUAAAGCACUUUAAGCGAGGAGGAGGCUCUUUUGGUUAAUACCCAAGAUGAGUGGACGUUACUCGCAGAAUAAGCACCGGCUAACUCUGUGCCAGCAGCCGCGGUAAGAC